AACGGUGACUAAUAGUAUAUAGGAAUCACCUCUUCCCUUUCCGAACAGAGAAGUUAAGACUAUAUACGCUGAUGGUACUGCAAAAGUGGAAGAGUAAGUGUCGCCAAGG
rnacentral:rRNA from 1 species